rnacentral:misc_RNA from 1 species
GAUGAAGAACGUAGCGAAAUGCGAUAAGUAAUGUGAAUUGCAGAAUUCAGUGAAUCAUCGAAUCUUUGAACGCACAUUCGCCCGCCAGCAUUCUGGCGGGCAUGCCUGUUCGAGCGUCAUUUCAACCCUCGAGCCCCCCCGGGGGCCUCGGUGUUGGGGGACGGCACACCAGCCGCCCCCGAAAUGCAGUGGCGACCCCGCCGCAGCCUCCCCUGCGUAGUAGCACACACCUCGCACCGGAGCGCGGAGGCGGUCACGCCGUAAAACGCCCAACUUUCUUAGAGUUGACCUCGGAUCAGGUAGGAAUACCCGCUGAACUUAAGCAUAUCAAUAAGCGGAGGA